rnacentral:lncRNA from 1 species
UUUGUGAAAUCGGUCAUGAAGCGGUAAAACAGUAAGUAUUGCAAUUGCAUCAAAUACCCAAAUUGGGGCUACCAAAAGAGAAACUGUAACGCUUGAAAAAUUUUCGUUAAUUUCUGAGAUGAUAAGAGAACUAUAAUUGACAAGUCCAUUGCUGAUACCCACAACUCCGAAAAACAUGAAUAUAGGAGGCCAUAAACGAACAUCCAAAAAAGCGUCAGCAAGAUCCGUAAGUGUCCAGGAUUUACCUACCUGCAUCUCAGCCAUAUAAAUGGCGUGCACUUCUUCCUCUUCAGGUGUAAGGCCGGUAUUUUCCGAGGCCUUUAGAAAACCAAGGAACUUAGGAAUGCGUAUCCAAGAAAUCCACUUUUCAUUAUGCUGAUUGUGCUUUAUGCAUGGUAGCCAUCGUGGAAGAAAAAGACCUUGUGUAAAAGCGACAACACCCCAAAUUAAAAACAUCCAUUGGUACCCAUAUAAACCGUGUAAACCAUCCAUUUUCUGAAAAGCAGCAGAGAGCAAGCUAGUAGCGACCGACGAAAUUUGAGCUGCCGUGUAAUACCAACCAAUUCGUUUUCCUAAAUGUUGAUCGCGAUAAAACCUACUGGUAUAAAAGGCAAAACCUGGCCACAUACCUGCUAUGGCCAGACCAUUAAAAAAUCUUAAAGCGAUAAAUCCUGAAGCAGAAGAUCCUUUAGUUCCAAGAACAGCAUGACAAGCACCAAUAAUACCAGUGGUUACUUGAAUACGAGAGAGCCAAAGUCGAGGAUCAGCACGGGUCAUUAGUAGAUUAGAAGGGAGAUCGAAAAUAAUUAAGGAAACAUAAGAAAGGCCCGUGCCAACAGAUAGAGUAUGAUAAUUCAAUCCAGAAACAGUCUGCAGAAGAGAAUGACCUUGAUGUUUGUUCAUGGUAAGAGAUAGAGAAAUAGAGUACGUUACACUUCUUGACAGGAAAUACGUUAUCCAUAAGCAAGUAAUAAUCCUCAAGUCGAGUUUUCUUCGAAUGCGAGAAAGGAUUUUCUUUUCCUCCGAGCUGAAACGAGCAACAUCGAUGCUCUCGGGAAAAGGAGGCGUAGACAAAGAGACAGCAGUAAUAUCCUCAGAAUCAGGAUGUUUUUCAUCUAACAUGGACUUGUCAAGGUCGGAGGAGGAAGAAGAAGAAAAAGAAGAGGGUGAAGGAAUGUGAGGAGAAACAUUGUUAUUUCGUAAAGAAGCUGAAGCUUUUGUAGCAAUGUGGGUUUCGUCGAGGGGAGCGGCAGAAGAAAUAUUUGAUGGACUUAACGGUUGUUGACUAAUUAUAAUGGAGGAGGCAUUUGACUCUUUUUCGAUGUGAGAUAACUCGGGAUUCGAAGUGGUAGAGUUUUGAGAAGAGAAGGGUUUCACGGUCGGGAAAGAGGAAGCAAUUGAUGGAGAGAUAGACGGCUUGGGAGGUAAGGUGUUUGUGUCCAUGUUUUCAAAUUCCAAGGCCAACAAAAAAGAAACAGUAAAGUGAGUUUUACGGAACAAUAAAUAGGAGAAAUAGGAGAAACAGGAAUGAAAUAACUUUAGAUUAAAUAAAUAUUAACCAGACCAAUAAAAAAAAUAUGAGCCACGUCUAAAAAAUAAAUCAAAACCGAACCGAAUUAGAUCCAAAAAUAAAUAAUCAAUGUAAAACAAAGUCUAGCGAACUUAGCAUACACCACAGGCAAAUUAACUAAGAAUUGUCUCAAGCAGUAGAAUUCAUACAGACUACCAAAAGCACAAUAUUAAUAAAUAAGGGAAGAUCUAUAAAAAAUCUCAAUUGCACAAAUCCUACGAGUAAUGUUAAGCUAACUAACAAUUAACUGGGAAUGCUUCGACUUCCACUCCACAAUGCAGUGUGAAAGCCUACUUCUUUUAAGUUAUGGAGAGGAAUGAAACUUUCUGCUUCACUUCAACUUAUAAACGGAGUUUCGGCUCUGGAUUAGUCAUUCUUCAAUCUAACGAUUCAUCAUCAUUUAGCUGAAAUCGCAGUCAUGAUUAAGAGACAAUUUACCCACGUCGUUCUACGCUAACAUCCUGUUGGUUAUUCAAAUUGACGAGUGAAUAAGCGCAUUUUCGCUCCAUUCCACAAAGUUGAAACAAUGCAAUUUUUCACAUUUUCAAUAAAACGUGGUAAGAAGACCCAAUGAGCUAGUCACCCAAGUUCUCAGUCGGAGUCGUAAAAUAUGCAAAAUUUUUUAGAAUCCGGUCCUCGUAAAAAGCAUCUUUAUAUUAACUUAAGAACUUGGAUAUGGGUACAGUGAGUAGUGAGUGAAUCUUCAAAGAUGCGAUUGUGUAUGGGAGCAUAUAAAAUUGGUAGAGUUACAGUACAAUGUAGUGAUAGAUAAAUAACUAGAAUAAUGAGAAAGAAAAAAAAUAAAUAAAUAAAGAGAGUAAAAGGGAUUUAAAUUGAAGGAAAUGAUAUUUUUGAACCUGAAAUAAUGUGUUGUGUAUAUAGAAACUUA